rnacentral:rRNA from 1 species
AGAGUUUGAUCAUGGCUCAGAACGAACGCUGGCGGCAUGCCUAAUACAUGCAAGUCGAACGAUCUCUUCGGAGAUAGUGGCGCACGGGUGCGUAACGCGUGGGAAUCUGCCCUUGGGUUCGGAAUAACUUCUGGAAACGGAAGCUAAUACCGGAUGAUGACGUAAGUCCAAAGAUUUAUCGCCCAAGGAUGAGCCCGCGUAGGAUUAGCUAGUUGGUGAGGUAAAGGCUCACCAAGGCGACGAUCCUUAGCUGGUCUGAGAGGAUGAUCAGCCACACUGGGACUGAGACACGGCCCAGACUCCUACGGGAGGCAGCAGUAGGGAAUAUUGGACAAUGGGCGAAAGCCUGAUCCAGCAAUGCCGCGUGAGUGAUGAAGGCCUUAGGGUUGUAAAGCUCUUUUACCCGGGAUGAUAAUGACAGUACCGGGAGAAUAAGCUCCGGCUAACUCCGUGCCAGCCGCCGCGGUAAUAC